UAGAAUAGAAGAUGAAAAACUGAAAAAAUACAAGACUGAGCUUUUCAUGCUGACUUGCCUCGGGAUUUUUUACUUGCUGCUCAUCUUCUUUACCUGUACGUGUCUAAGAAAAGAGAGUAUGUCUCCCAGUGAUAAAAGCAGAAGAGAUUCAAAACGCACUCUCACUCUCAUCAACGCACAUGAAAUGACAACACUCCGGGUUUUAAACAGUGGCAGCACGUGCAAAAGUGGACUUACUUCAAGUUCUAUCUAAGUUGGCACUGUUGAUGGCACCGCAUGCUCAUCAGUGAACAAAUGUCAUGAGACGGAUAGCGGAGUGAUAUGAAGAAGGAAGAAGUGGUGAUAUAUGGCCUCUUCAGGACUGCCCGACAGUAUGGGUAACCUGUCAGUGAUGUGCUUGCUCUGGACAAGCCUUCAAAAAGCACCAUUAUGCACUACGGUAACUUCUUGGUGCUAGUUGGCUAACAAAUGCCAUUGCAGCUACACAACUGCUGUUAAGAAGCUGAUAUCAGCAUUUUUCACUCCACCAGGCAGCCCUCUUGUUCAGACAGACUACUCUCGUGAUGUGAAGACUGGGUAAUAGGGGCACCAUGGCAAUGCAAAGGCUGGAGUUUAGGCUUGUCAGUGAACUAAUCAGUAUGAUGAAGAGCCAGCUUCCUGCUGUUGUCCUGGAUGAAUCGUAUCCACAUUCGUUUUUAAAUAUUAGGCUGACAGAUAAGCUGAAACAUAGGAAGGAAGAAAAUACUUUGAAAAUCUUUCUGGACUGAGAAGAAUCCUAUCUCUGCAAGAGAAGUAGAGAUGCACUUACAUAGUGGGUCCAUCAGACAUUUCCUGCAGGCAUCUCUAGAUAGGUUCAUCCACAUGAGGCUUCUAUUACAACUGUUAACUUUAAAGAAGCGAAAAUAAGAGGGAAGCAGUGUGGAAAGAUGACUUUCUUAGUGGUUUAUAAUACACAAAGUCAACUACAUGAAAUGAAGCCUCUAUCGAUCAAAUUAUAGCGGUAAUGACCAAGGAAGAAACAGACCAUCUAUGUCUCUGUGAUGUAUUGAGUCAGCUGUGGAGAAACAGGAACAGAAGAUGGGACAAAUGAACACCAGCUUUCGGUGUUAACAGUGUGUAGUUUAUGUGAAACAAGGCUGUGAGAGAAGCUGAAUUUAGGAGUGUGAUGCAAGGGUAAGAAGACUUGUCCUUUUGGGCUGAAGAGGGCAAGAGUUACUUUGGAGGUUGAAAUUAAGUGACCACCUUUACAGUGCUGCUGGUGAAGCAAGUAGAGUCUGGAGUGACUGUGGAUUUUUAUGCCACCAGAUGAAGAUUUGAGCCAUAACAUGAGAAUUUGCAAACACAUGAGAACACAAUCAUGUGUUCACGUCAAACUCUACGAAACAAGCCAGCCAAGCAAACAAAAGCCCUUUGAAAGCUAAACUGCAGCAUUAGGAUUAUUCAGUGCAGUUUGGAAUUUCAGGCUGUGACAAGGAGGCUCUUUCUGUAUUCCUUUGACUAAUUCUGAAGUGAUGAUGGGAGGAAAGCACCAUGCAUCACUCAGCAGCUUCUCUGUGAGUGGUGUAGAUGUCUACACUGACGGAAUCCGAGGGGCUUCUGAC
rnacentral:lncRNA from 1 species